rnacentral:lncRNA from 1 species
GAUAGAAGAGAAUUGUAUUUCUGCCUUUCUUUACAAUGUACAUGAGUAGCCUUUUAUAUAGACUAGGAGGCUGACGAAAUUUGGUAAGGCCGACUAAAUUUGGCAUAAUCAAUCACAAAUCAAUCAAGGAGAAGUUUGGUAAGGCCGACUAAGUUUGGCACAAUCAAUCACAAAUCAAUCAUAAUCCUAAUCAAUCAUAUGAUUUUAACAUCCCUCUCAAACUCAAGGUAGUAAAGUAGACACCAACUUGAGUUUGGAAACAAAAGAUCGCAAGAUGCCAAAUGAAUGAGUUUUGGUGAAGACAUCCGCAGCGAAGAUAGAUCUCAGAGAGAAGGCAACCGAAGCUUAACGAUGCUUGUAGACGAAAGCACCAUAGAAGAAGAGCAAGAGACUUGGAAUUGGAUGAUGAAGGAGCUGGAGGUAGCAAAUAAAGCCAGAGAUUGAGGACUGGGGUGAUGCUAUACAGAUGUAUACCUCCAUGAUCGAGAGCGAGAUCGCGCCUGCUAAAUUUACCUGUCCAAUUUCUGACGGUACGGUUUGACGCGCCGCUGCUGGGUUUUGGAACGAGAUCGCGUCUGCCAAAUUUAUCCAUCAAACUUCUGAUGGCAUGGUUUGACGUGUCGCUGUUGGGGUUUGGAACGAGAUCACACCUGCCAAAUUUCUGACGGUACGGUUUAACACGCCGCUACUGGAGUUUGAAAUGAGAUC